GUGCAAAUCCUAACCAAAACGAAAUUCGAGCUUAGAAUUGUGAUCCUCAUCGCAAGAGGAUUAAGAGGCAAAGAGUCCGGAUCAUCAAGCGGACAAGCCGGAGGGAAUUCACGGGGAAAAGGCGUGCUCUAAAGUUUUCAGGUUUUCUAGCAGAAGGGUGAUGAUCAAGCAUAUGCAUCUGAACCGAACACUCUAACAAACGCUUCCG